AAGGGUAUAGCUUACGGGUAGAGUGCAUGCUUGGCAUGCACAAGGUCCUGGGUUCAAUCCCCAGUGCCUCUG
rnacentral:tRNA from 1 species